rnacentral:rRNA from 1 species
GAAGUCAUUGAUGCCAUGCUUCCGGGAAAAGCCUCUAAGCUUCAGAUAGUAAGGAAUCGUACCCCAAACCGACACAGGUGGUCGGGUAGAGAAUACCAAGGCGCUUGAGAGAACUCGGGUGAAGGAACUAGGCAAAAUGGUACCGUAACUUCGGGAGAAGGUACGCUGCCGGCGGUGAAGAGACUCGCUCUUGGAGCUGCUGGCAGUCGCAGAUACCAGGUGGCUGCAACUGUUUAUUAAAAACACAGCACUGUGCAAAAUCGAAAGAUGACGUAUACGGUGUGACGCCUGCCCGGUGCCGGAAGGUUAAUUGAUGGGGUUAGACUUUUGUCGAAGCUCUUGAUCGAAGCCCCGGUAAACGGCGGCCGUAACUAUAACGGUCCUAAGGUAGCGAAAUUCCUUGUCGGGUAAGUUCCGACCUGCACGAAUGGCGUAAUGAUGGCCACGCUGUCUCCACCCGAGACUCAGUGAAAUUGAAAUCGCAGUGAAGAUGCUGCGUACCCGCGGCUAGACGGAAAGACCCCGUGAACCUUUACUACAGCUUGGCACUGAACAUUGACCCUACAUGUGUAGGAUAGGUGGGAGGCUUUGAAACCAGCACGCCAGUGUUGGUGGAGCCGUCCUUGAAAUACCACCCUUGUAGUGUUGAUGUUCUAACGUCGCCCCGUUAUCCGGGGUGCGGACAGUGCCUGGUGGGUAGUUUGACUGGGGCGGUCUCCUCCCAAAGCGUAACGGAGGAGCACGAAGGUGGGCUAAUCACGGUCGGACAUCGUGAGGUUAGUGCAAUGGCAUAAGCCCGCUUGACUGCGAGAAUGACGGUUCGAGCAGGUGCGAAAGCAGGUCAUAGUGAUCCGGUGGUUCUGUAUGGAAGGGCCAUCGCUCAACGGAUAAAAGGUACUCCGGGGAUAACAGGCUGAUACCGCCCAAGAGUUCAUAUCGACGGCGGUGUUUGGCACCUCGAUGUCGGCUCAUCACAUCCUGGGGCUGAAGUCGGUCCCAAGGGUAUGGCUGUUCGCCAUUUAAAGUGGUACGCGAGCUGGGUUUAGAACGUCGUGAGACAGUUCGGUCCCUAUCUGCCGUGGGCGUUGGAUGAUUGAGAGGGGCUGCUCCUAGUACGAGAGGACCGGAGUGGACGAACCUCUGGUGUUCGGGUUGUGUCGCCAGACGCAUUGCCCGGUAGCUAAGUUCGGAAUCGAUAACCGCUGAAAGCAUCUAAGCGGGAAGCGAGCCUCAAGAUGAGUCAUCCCUGAACCUAUAAGGUUCCUGAAGGGUUGUUGGAGACUACGACGUAGAUAGGCAGGGUGUGUAAGCGUUGUGAGGCGUUGAGCUAACCUGUACUAAUUGCCCGUGAGGCUUAACCAUACAACACCCAAGGGGUUU